CGAAAUGCGAUAAGUAAUGCGAAUUGCAGAAUCCGUGAGUCAUCGAAUCUUUGAACGCACAUUGCG
rnacentral:rRNA from 1 species